rnacentral:rRNA from 1 species
CCUACGGGGGGCAGCAGUGGGGAAUAUUGCACAAUGGGGGGAACCCUGAUGCAGCGACGCCGCGUGAGUGAAGAAGUAUUUCGGUAUGUAAAGCUCUAUCAGCAGGAACGAAAAUGACGGUACCUGACUAAGAAGCCCCGGCUAACUACGUGCCAGCAGCCGCGGUAAUACGUAGGGGGCAAGCGUUAUCCGGAUUUACUGGGUGUAAAGGGAGCGUAGACGGCAGAGCAAGUCCGGAGUGAAAGCCCGGGGCCCAACCCCGGGACUGCUCUGGAAACUGUUAAGCUGGAGUGCGGGAGGGGCAG